GAAAGGUGUCCCUGCCCAUGGCAGGGCAUUGGAACAAAAUGACCUUUAAGGUCCCUUCCAACCCAAACCAUUCUGAGUGAUUGUGGUUUACUGGAGGAGAAUCACAAUAAUAGGAAAUAAUUUACUCAAACAAAGCACUGCUUGGUUGUUCACUCAUCAGAUUGGUGUUAAAAUAAACUGAAAACCUUUCCCCCAGUGAAUUUCUGCCCUCCUGGUUUUUGCUUCAAGGCAGCCACUCUGAGAUUUAAACUUGAGAUAUGCUAAAAACUUCUUUUCUCUGUGCUUAAAAAGGGCUUUAGAGAUAUUUUCCUUGGAAAGAGAAGCAAUGUUUUUAAGGCAAACAGCUUGCAAGUUUAAUUUUGAAAGGUUUGUCUCUUAAGUAGCAAAUUGAAUAGAAGGGAUUUGAUUCCCCUAAGUCCCCAAUUCUAGAGAAAGCAGCUUGAGAUCUCAGUAAGAGAAUUAACACACGGGUUAAACUUACAAUAAGAAGCAGGACUUGGAAAAUGCCUAUUCAGAUGCCGUUAAGGAAAAGGAAAUAAUAGGAUUAGUUCUUGUCGUGUCAGUGUGGAUUCCUCAAACUGGGGGCUGUGCUGACACGCAGCCCGGCUGUGCUGCUGGUCUGGCCGUGAAACUGGGGACAAUGACAAUAAAGAUGACUUUUCUUGGAGGCAAAUUCCUUUGAAUGUUUAAGCCGGUGCUUGUUUGCACACACACAGGGCAGGUAAUUCAGGAUGACAAAGAAGCCCCUAAUAAUCCCCCUCCCUCCCCAGAUCUGCUGUUUGUGGCUGAGGUGAUGGUAAUUGCAGCUGGGUACGUGGUAGAAAAAAAGCAGGAAAUACACCGUGGCAGCGUGUUUCCAGUUCCUCUUAAACCAAAGAGAACGAAGCGUUAAGGCAGAAUUGGGGUUAUUUUGACAUCUCCUGAUUCCAUCAUAGAAGGAGCUGUAGGAGACCAGCGCUCUGGAAAACUCCCAACAAAAUGGUCUGAAAGGUUUUUAUGGGUGGUGAGAUGUUCCAGUGCUUGGAUCAAUCUGUUUCAUUUAAUGUGCGAAGGAGUGGAUUAUUUUUUUUUUUGCUGUUGUUUGGUUGGGUUAUUUUAAGUUUCUGGAAUUUUACGUCAGCAGAGCUGAUCCAGGUAUAGAAACUGAGAGUCAUGAAAUCACAAAAUGGUUUGGGUUGGAGGGGACCUUAAAACCCAUCUCGUUCCACCCCCUGCCAUGGGCAGGAGCUCC